rnacentral:rRNA from 1 species
UGGGGAAUAUUGCACAAUGGGCGAAAGCCUGAUGCAGCGACGCCGCGUGGGGGAUGACGGCCUUCGGGUUGUAAACCCCUUUCGACUCUGACGAAGCGUAAGUGACGGUAGGAGUAGAAGAAGCACCGGCUAACUACGUGCCAGCAGCCGCGGUAAUACGUAGGGUGCGAGCGUUGUCCGGAAUUAUUGGGCGUAAAGAGCUUGUAGGCGGUUUGUCGCGUCUGUCGUGAAAACCAGGGGCUUAACUCCUGGCGUGCGGUGGGUACGGGCAGGCUAGAGUGUGGUAGGGGAGACUGGAAUUCCUGGUGUAGCGGUGAAAUGCGCAGAUAUCAGGAAGAACACCGAUGGCGAAGGCAGGUCUCUGGGCCAUUACUGACGCUGAGAAGCGAAAGCAUGGGGAGCGAACA